UACGUAGGGGGCAAGCGUUGUCCGGAAUCAUUGGGCGUAAAGAGCGCGUAGGCGGCCCGGUAAGUCCGCUCUGAAAGUCCGGGGCUCAACCCCGGGAGGCGGGCGGAUACUGUCGGGCUAGAGUCCGGAAGAGGCGAGUGGAAUUCCUGGUGUAGCGGUGAAAUGCGCAGAUAUCAGGAGGAACACCGAUGGCGAAGGCAGCUCGCUGGGACGGUACUGACGCUGAGGCGCGAAAGCGUGGGGAGCAAACAGG
rnacentral:rRNA from 1 species